rnacentral:rRNA from 1 species
UACAGAGGGUGCGAGCGUUAAUCGGAAUUACUGGGCGUAAAGCGCACGUAGGCGGCGACGUAAGUCGGGUGUGAAAGCCCCGGGCUCAACCUGGGAAGUGCAUUUGAGACUGCAUGGCUGGAGUACGGAAGAGGAGGGUGGAAGUCCCGGUGUAGCGGUGAAAUGCGUAGAUAUCGGGAGGAACAUCAGUGGCGAAGGCGGCCCUCUGGGCCAGUACUGACACUCAAGUGCGAAAGCGUGGGGAGCAAACAGG